GCUCCGCGGGAGUUGUGGGGUGUUCGCGGGCGGCUCUUGAGGGGGACUCCUGGUUCCAUGGGGGGCUGGAGGCGUCCUGUGGUCGUGGAGGGAACCCCGGGCUCCGUGAGGGGCUGGGGGCGUCCUGAGGACAUGGAGGGGCACUCGGAGGUCGGGAGGGGCUGAGGGCGUCCUGAGGACAUGGAGGGGCACUCGGGGGUCGGGAGGAGCUGGGGGCGCCCCUGAGGACGUUGAGGGAGCCCCGGAGGGGCGUGAGGGGCUGGAGGCGUCCUGAGGACAUGGAGGGAACCCGGGGCUUUGUGAGGGGCUGGGGGCGUCCUGAGGACAUGGAGGGGCUUUCGGGGGUUGUGAGGGACUGGAGUCGUCCUGAGGACAUGGGGGGACCCCCGGCGGUCGUAAGCGGCUGGGGUGGGCGCCAUGAGGGGGUAGAAGCGCUGUGAGGGUAUAGAGGAGACUGAGCCGCUCCCUCGGAGUCAUGAGGGCACGGAGGGGGCUUGAGUAGCUGCCAGUAGCUGCUAGGGGUCUGUGAGGGCUGUGCGUGCGUGGUCCACGGGGGAAACGCUGCUCUGGGUUUUCCUGUCAGCCUCGGGCUAUGCAAAUACUGCUUUCCCAGAAGUUCUGGAGUCCCUCGCCCCACAGUCGGUGGGUUGAGGGGUGCGCCUGUUCACUGGAAAACACGAGCUCUGAGUCAGCUGCGUGGGGAAAUCCAGCGCUGCUCAGACCAUCCCGGUGUUUUCUUCCUAAAUGUGCCUCUGACUCCCCGUGGAGUCCGUGCUCGGAGGCUCGGGAUGCAGCCCUUGGUCUCGCUGGUGGUGGUGGGAUCCCGAGCCCCUCUCACUUUGCCUACAGCCGGUGUGAAUAACAGCUUCUCUGACAGGGAUGCUUAGACUUCCAUCACUGUGGUUUUGCCGUGUUUCGAAGGAAAAAGAACAGCAAGAAGUAAAAUUGAACCCUUCAUCCUCUGAUUUGCAUUAAAGUUUAGUUGCUUAAAAGAAUUAUUUGCAGGUAGGUAAUGGUAAAAGGAGCUCUCCUUAUGUGUCUGGUCAUUCAAACCACAGCACAUACUGACUGCUGAAGUGUGGAAAGAACGGAGGAAGAAAAAUGAUGAUGCGUUUUUUUCCUUCAUCUUAUGAAACAAUUUCACGGAAGACAGGAUUUGGGUAAAGAGCUGGGGGCUGUCUCAAGCACUUUGAGGCAAGAGUGGAUUUUGUAACAGGUAUGGAGUUUGAAGGAGAGCUUUUUUAAAGCCUGCUCUUUCUCGACUCUUGCCUUGCAUGUAAUCAUGUUGUGUAGUUACUAGAAGGUGCUCGUAUAAAGUGAUUAGAGAAAUACAAAGUCUGUGUGGGACUGUGGCUACUGAACACAAGUUUGGAUAUAAAAGGCACUCGGAAAAUAUUGGUCAGUAUUUACAUAUUGCAAACUAGUCUUUAGACAACUCCUCUGUCAGAGGAUAGGGGAAUGACCAGCAGGGUAUUUAUCUGACCCUCCUCUCUUCAUCAUUGAUUCAUUUAGAGGAUGCUGGCUGCAGUACAUUAACUUUGGGGUCUAAGCAAGCUGGUCAGGAGGAAGGCCCCCUCAAACAUAGUCAAAUGUCAGACUCACUGUGAGCUCCAGCAUGUUACCAAGCUCUGAGGUAGAAAGUGGGACAGAGUUCUGCCCUCACAUACUCCUCACAGAGCCCUGAAAAAAGUAGCUGAGACUUUACAAGGCAGGGCGUGGGAUUCGGUUUUUAGUAAGGCUUUAGCAGGCGUGUUUUAAGCGCAGUUCUCUCUUGCUUAUUAGAAAUUUAAGACAGUGUUGUUUAACAAGUGCUGAUGCUCGGAUCUUAAGCAGCUCAUUAUUUGUCAGUGUAAUGCAGAAACAGCCUCCCAUCAGUGGGCAUCAUUAAAUUAGAUACAUACUAGUUUUUAUUUGUUAUGUAAAUAAAUUAUUAAAGUAAGGCUGUGGCAUUUGACCUGAGCCUGUACAGCAGUUAAGAUAGCAGGAGUCUGGGUCAUUCAGUAAUAGCGGGAUAGUGUUUCAAAUUAUUCGUUCAGUCACUCAUGAGGAGGUUUGUUUUCCUCCCCAUAACUGGCUUUUGGUUAGUGUUACACGCCUCAAGUAUUUUGCAAAAUAAUAAUUAGUGCUUGAAGAUUAAAGACAUCUGAUCUGUGUUUCAGAUUACUGCUGUCCCUGCUCCCUCAAACAGCAAUAUUUGAGUCCCUACCCUGAAGCUUUGUAUCAUAUCGGUUACUUUAAAAUUGAGGAAACAUCGUGACAUUUUACCACAUAGAUAGCUGUCAAGCUUCCUUUGCACACAGAGUUAAUUAUAUGUCUGGACCUAAGGGAUCACUCCUGUGCUCCUUGGAUUAAUUGCAGUUUUAACAACAGAAAUCAACACCCAUAUGCUUGAUUUAUAGUAUGUUGAGAGUAUUUUUCCUUCUCCUCCCAUUUUUCCCUUAUUGUUUGUCCAUGGUACUUAACUCAGAGGGACACAGGGAACGUGUGUUUUGUCCUAAGAGGCGCCAGGGAAAGGUGUUGGGCAAAUGUGCUGGCAGAGUCCUGCAACAGGCUGCAGAGCUCAUCCGCCUGGACACCUGCCACAGCGGGUUUGAUCCCACAAAAAUCUGAUAAUCCUCCUUUAUCCAGGUAAUCUUAACAGCAGCAUCUUGCCCUUUUGCAGGGCUGAGGGGUGAAGUACAUUACUCUGCUGUGUUGCUGGAAUCCAGGAAGUUGUGGGUUUGUGUUCAGGAGUGCGUGUGAAGCCUGAAACCCAAAGAGCAUCUGCUUUUUACACAAACAUCACUCAAGGUUGGGAGCUGAGACACGGCGACCUUGGCUGCGACACAGGAAUCUCCAAAUGGAGCAGAACUCUCGGCUUUCCUGUCAGACUUCCCUACAAUCUCUGCUGUUAAUCAAACGCUGCAAUAGCACCUCUUUAAAGCUUGAUUUUGGUGAAUUUAUUUAACCUUGUGCACGACAGGAAUUGCGCAGAGCCAAGGAAUGACAUUUACUUGACCCUCAUCUUGGAGGUUUGCCGGAGGAACGUGUCCUUGUCAGUGCAGAGCUGGCUGGGAGCUCUGGGAGCAAGAGAGCAGGGAAAAGCCAGGGGAAGGGGGUGUCUUGUCAGCUGCUCUGCCAGUGCCCUCCCUUUGGAAAUACUGCCGGAGCUUACGUGUUGAAGGACCCUCUACUCAGUAGAGAAUUUGACCAAGCUGGAGAAGCUGCUGGAUGCUGAGGCUCAUGUUGCAGAGAGGCUGAGCAGCACCCUUGUGUCACCACCAUGGGCCAGGCAAGAUUUGUACCUGUCUCGUACAAACAAGUGCUAAAAGUUACCAGGAGCUUGACAGCUGGGCAGUAGCCAUAUGGCCCCUGAACUGGCAUAAGCACGAAUGCAGCUGUGGCAGAGGCUGUGGAGCUUGCUCACAUCAGUGGAAGGUUUGGUCCUUCUGUGCAGUGGUGGUUACUCAAGGAACCAGGCAACCCCUGAGGAACAGCUGACUGUGACAUUCCCUCUGUUCUCCUCCUGGCUGCUUGGAGCAUCCCGAAGCCCAGCAGGUAU